UACGGGGGGGGCAAGCGUUGUUCGGAAUUACUGGGCGUAAAGGGCUCGUAGGCGGCCAACUAAGUCAGACGUGAAAUCCCCAGGCUCAACUUGGGAACUGCGUCUGAUACUGGAUGGCUUGAAUCCGGGAGAGGGAUGCAGAAUUCCAGGUGUAGCGGUGAAAUGCGUAGAUAUCUGGAGGAACACCGGUGGCGAAGGCGGCAUCCUGGACCGGCAUUGACGCUGAGGCGCGAAAGCCAGGGGAGCAAACGGG
rnacentral:rRNA from 1 species